rnacentral:misc_RNA from 1 species
UCCGAGUUGACCCCGGCAGUCUCCUAUGAGUCCCCACCAUCACGUGCUGGCAACAUAGAACGAGGGUUGCGCUCGUUGCGGGACUUAACCCAACAUCUCACGACACGAGCUGACGACAACCAUGCACCACCUGUGUACCGACCUUGCGGGGAGCACAUCUCUGCACUUUUCCGGCACAUGUCAAACCCAGGUAAGGUUCUUCGCGUUGCGUCGAAUUAAACCACAUGCUCCGCUGCUUGUGCGGGCCCCGUCAAUUCCUUUGAGUUUUAACCUUGCGGCCGUACUCCCCAGGCGGGGCACUUAAUGCGUUAGCGACGGCGCGGAUUCCGUUGGUUGGAACCCACACCUAGUGCCCAACGUUUACGGCAUGGACUAC